rnacentral:rRNA from 1 species
GUGAGGAAUAUUGGACAAUGGGCGCAAGCCUGAUCCAGCCAUGCCGCGUGCAGGAAGACGCAUCUAUGGUGUGUAAACUGCUUUUGUACGGGAAGAAACACUCCCUCGUGAGGGAGCUUGACGGUACCGUAAGAAUAAGGAUCGGCUAACUCCGUGCCAGCAGCCGCGGUAAUACGGAGGAUCCAAGCGUUAUCCGGAAUCAUUGGGUUUAAAGGGUCCGUAGGCGGUUUAAUAAGUCAGUGGUGAAAGCCCAUCGCUCAACGAUGGAACGGCCAUUGAUACUGUUAGACUUGAAUUACAAGGAAGUAACUAGAAUAUGUAGGGUAGCGGUGAAAUGCUUAGAUAUUACAUGGAAUACCAAUUGCGAAGGCAGGUUACUACUGGUGGAUUGACGCUGAUGGACGAAAGCGUGGGGAGCGAACAGGAUUAGAAACCCGGGUAGUCC